rnacentral:tRNA from 1 species
CCUUCGAUAGCUCAGUUGGUAGAGCGGAGGACUGUAGGUAGGAUGAUGGCAAUUCUUAGGUCGCUGGUUCGACUCCGGCUUGACGGA